rnacentral:rRNA from 1 species
CGUGUAGGCGGCCAAACAGGUCCGUUGUGAAAACUGGAGGCUUAACCUCCAGACGUCGACGGAAACCGUGUGGCUAGAGUCCGGAAGAGGAGAGUGGAAUUCCUGGUGUAGCGGUGAGAUGCGCAGAUAUCAGGAAGAACACCAAUGGCGAAGGCAGCUCUCUGGGACGGUACUGACGCUGAGACGCGAAAGCGUGGGGAGCGAACA